GGUGUUUUAUUUUUUGUUUGAGGGUCUUUGUUUGGUUUUUUGUUUUGGGGGAGGUUGGUGGGAUUUUUGGGGUGUUUUUGUAGGGUUUUUUGAUGUUUUGUUUUUGGGCUGAUUGGUUUGUUUUUUGGGGUGGUUCUUUUGUUGUUUGCUUGUUUUUUAUUUUUUGGGGGAGAGAAGGUUGUUGUGUUUUGUUUGGUUGGUUGUUGUUAGAGUAAGGAUUAGAGUUUGUUGGUACCUGUGCUGUAAACCAGUAGUGGCAUUCAUAUCUAACAAUGUAGCAGUGCAGAUAUAGAUAUAUUUCUUUAUUUUUAGGGAAACUUUUACUGUGCUUGUUGAAAGCUAGGCUUUCCAUGUCUGUGAGCUUGAAGAAUUUAUCCUUGCAUCUUUAUUUUUUUUCCAAAAGAAUAUCUGCAUUCGUUUGCCUGUUUGUUUUAUGGGAUCGGUUUUGUUGUUGUACUUUUCUUUAUCUUUAGUAUUCUGUUUGUGGUGUGAAAGGACCCAUUUGGAGUUGUGGUAUGGUUUUGGGGUGGGACUGACAGGAGUGAUUUACCUGUUUCAUUUUUACUAGAAAAGUAGUUGAAUAUUUACCCCAUAUGUAAAAGAAAAUGGGGCCCAUUGUCACUGCAUUCAGAAGUUCCUGCCUGUGUUUUACCUAUGUUUGCUCUUCAACUUUUCUUUUAAUUUAAACAAUGUGGAAAUUAGCUUCUGUUUGUCCUUUUUUUUUUUCUAUAUGAACAUGAAUACAGAAAGAGCUAAGCAGUGAAAAUCAGUCAGAAAAAGUAAUAUGUGAGAAUUAAAAGGUGGUGAGAAGUUUUUUCCAGCUUGCAUUCUUGCUGUUGGGCUUCACAAUGCCCUGAAAAGAGGGGGCCGUUGCAGUCUCCCAACUCUUUUGGAGACCAGAGUCAAAUGUUAAGAGUUUUGUGUUAUUUUCUGUGGAUGGCUGUGUUUGUACUGAGUAGAGCAAUUCCCCCCAAAAAUCUGGCAGAAGCCCCAGUCCUGUCCCAUUUGCAGCCACCCCCUAAAUCAAUGCUUGCAAAUAGACAAAAGAGUAAAUAAAAUAAACUCUCUCUCUGAGAUAUUGCAGAGGAGAAAAAAAAAAUUGGACUUUGCUUGAUGCGGAGGAGCAUACUCAACACCCCGUCAGGGUCUGACCCUGCACUCACAGGGAUCAGCUUGGAAAAGCAAGAUGUGGUGGCUCAGUGUGGCAUUGAUGUGCUUUAAUGGGACACUUCCAGUCAAGGGCAUCUGGUUCUUUAGGGCUGUGUUUGUCAGAGGAAGGAUAUUGCAUUAAAGAUGAAAUAUGAACAGCUGAUGGCCUUCAGUAGUUAUAGCCUUGUAUAAAAUCUUCUCCAAAGAAGCAAAACAAAUAUUUGAAAGACUCAACUUUUAACAGGUUGAAUUUCUGGAUGCUUGGAGAACCUGGUGACUUCAAUGUAAUUUUUCUCAGGAGGAAACUGGGCCUGCUGCAUUAGCUGCCAGAUUUAGCCUAGUCUAAAACUACUUUCCACAGAGAGAUGAGGGAGAAAUUGGUGGUGGGAUGUGAUGGAAAUAUAAAAAUAGGAGUUGGGAGUAAGCAGGACAGGGUGAGGGGUUUGCAGGUUGCUGGCAAAGAGAGAAGCAGAAAGCCCAAAGAUGUGAUUGCUAAUGUUUGACUCUUCACUUCUCAGACAGAAGAUGUAGCUGGUGAAUUGUGCUGAUUUUUGUUUGGGGUGAGUUAAUUUUCUUCACAGUAACUAGUAUGGGACUCGGUUUUAGAUUUAGUUUUAGAUAUGCUGAACACAGUGUUGGCAAUCUAGAGAUGUUUUGGAUAUUACUGAGCAGCACCUGCACAGCACCAAGGCUUUCUCUGCUUCUUGUACUGCCACACUGCUGAGGGGUCUGGGGGUGCUUGACAAGUUGGGAGGAGACACAGCUGGGACAUCUGACCCCAAGUGACCAAAGCAAUAUUCUAAACCAUAUGAUAUUAUGCUCGCUAAAUAAAAUGGGGUGAUGGCAUUUGUCUUCCCAAGUCACCAAUAUGUGUGAUGGGGCCUUGAUCUCCUGAAGAUGGCUGAGCACCUGCCUGCCCAUGGAAGUGUUGAAUGAAUUCCUUGUUUUGUUUAUGUGUGUGGCUUUUGCUUUACCUUUUAAGCUGUCUUUAUCUCCACCCAUGAGUUUUUGCACUUUUUGUCUUCUGAUUCUCCCCCUGAUCCUCUGGUGGGGACUGAGUAGCUGCCUGGGAUUAAACCACAACAGGCUUUUUGUCAUGCUCAGUGUGCAGCUUGAAGGGUUAGAGACCAUGAGAGAUUUGAUUGAAAUGUGCUAGAUUGUUUUAAUAGCUGUUAUUGCCAUUUAGCUAUUAAUUGGCAGGCUCCUGUGCUUGCUGUGGGGCUCACUUGUCUGGCUGUGUACUAGAGCCUCAUUAGUGGCUCCUUUUUGCAAUUGCUGGUCAAGGUACUCUGCUGUGCCUGGGCACAUAUUGAUAAGAGCCCUGGUGAUGAUAACAGCCCUGCCUGGGUUGGCAGAUGGCCAGGGCAUCACUGAUGUGUCUGUGCUGCUGAGCUGGACAGGCUGGGACUCCAAGUGUGAGCUCCAGCCAAAGGAACUGUGAACUGGAUGAGCCCAUGCUGGAGCAGGUUAAUGCCUGGAGGAGGCUGUGAUCCUGUGGAGAACAUCACACUUGUGAAGAACUGCAGCCUGUGGGAAGAAUCCUUCCUGGGGGAAGGAUCUUUGUUGGAGAAGUUUGUGGGGAGCUGUUUCCCAUGAGUGGAACACCAUUCUGGAGGUGGGGAAGCAGAGAUGCCCCUGAAAUCUGUGGUGAAGAUGAUGGUGAGGAACAGUUCUGUGCAGCCACAGGGGACUAUGCAUGUUACAGGAAUCACUGUACCAGGAGCCAGGUGGACCAGUGGAGGAAAAGCAUUAAACAAGCAGUGAAAGAGCAGAGUGACCUGGCCUGAGGUGGAUUUGGUGCCCAGUAACUCAGCUCAACACACCAUUCCUCCUGUCCUGAGUGACCACUGUGACUGACAGAGCCCAAGGUUGAGGACUAAAUGAAAACAAAGAACCUUUUUGUGCAGACCUUGUUAAGAAAACUACUCUGACCAUUGAUAAGACUCUCUGGCUCACAUUCCCGCUUUUACUGCUGGGACUGAAGUCUCUUCACAGCAGAGGGCUCCAGUGAGAUGACGGGGGCUCUGCUUGGCUCCCCACACAUCCUGCUCAUGUGCAUUCAGACCAGGUUUCAUGCCCUUUGUGUGAAGAAUUGGAAGUUCAUGUCCUCUUGUCUUAGGGUCUGGUCAUUCAGAUACCUCAUCUGUUUAUUGCUUUAAAGGAUGGGAAGGGAAGUCAAGGUUAAUUGUGUUGAGUAUUUUAUCAGCUGACCAUGAUGCAAAUGAUAUGGAACAAGGGGUGGAAUGUGCUGUUAGCCUGGGGUAAAUUUUCUUCAUGGUAAAUAGUAUGGGACUAUUUGGAUUUGUGCUGGAAACAGGUUUUGUGAUAUGGAGGUGUUUUUGUUAUUGCUGAGCAGGGCUUGCACAGACCCAAGGCCUUUUCUGCUUCUCACAGUGCCUUGCUGGUGGGGGAGUGGGAAAACUGGGAGGUGACACAGCCAGGACAGUUGACCCUAACUAACCAAGGGGUUCCAGAACAUAUGGCAUCAUGCUCAGUGUAUAAAGUAGGGGGGAAUAAAGAAUGAUGGAGGGGGGAGGGAUAGUGAAUGGGAUAGUUUUUGUCUUCACAAGUGAAUUGUGUGCGAUGGAGCCCUGCUUUCCUGGGAACCACUGAACACCUACCUGCCCAUGGGGAGUGUAGAAUUAAUUCCUUGUUUUGCUUUGCUUGUGUGUGUGGCUCUUGCUUUCUGUAUUAAACUGUCUUUAUCUCAACCCAUGAACUUUCUCACUUCUGUUCUUCCAAUUCUCUCCCUGAUGCCACUGUUAGGGGAGUGAGCAAGUGAUUGUGUGAUGCUUACUUGCUCCCUCCCUCUCCUCUCCCUGAUAACAAGCACAAGAGCAAAUGGCCUCAACUUUCAUCAGGGUAGGUUUAGAUUGGAUAUAUGGAGAAAUUCCUUUACAAAAUGGGCAUUCGGACAUUGGAACACAUUGUCCAGAGAAGUGGUGAAGUCACCAUCAUUUGGAAGGGUUUGCAAAAUAUGUGGGUAUGGCAUGUGGCGACAGGGUUUAGUGGUGGCCCUGGCAGUAUUAGGUUAAUGGCUGCUGGGCUUGAUGAUCCUGGAGGUCUUUUCCUACCUAAAUGAUUCUUCAGUAUCAGGCUAAGAGUUUCAGAGCUAAAACAGCUCAAGGGCAGGCCUCAUGUCCACCUGGAGCUCCUUAGGCUGAUCAACUUAAAGAUGCUGAAAAAAAUAAUAAUGAUAAUCCCUGAAUUCAGUCAUAGAAUCGCAGAACCAUUAAUGCUGGAAAAGCCCUCUAAGAUCAUGGGAGUCCAACUGUUAACCUAGUGUGGUCAUUUUCCUGGCUGUCCUCACACUCUCCUCUUUUCAGAAGAAAAUAGUGCCACAUCUUUAUGCUCUGUGGGCACUUGUGCAAAUGAAAUAACAUGGAUAUGCAGCUGAGUAGACUACAAACCCUGGAUUUAAAACUUAAGGAUGAAGGGACCAAUGAGGAGCACCAGAGAAAGAUUUCUAUAUCAUCUUUGUCCUGCAGUGUCCUUACAGGAAACUCUACAAGAAAAGGAGCAGGAGAAGAGCACAGUUUAAUUUGCCUCAGAUUGGUCGAGUUUCUUCAGAAAUUCUGAGUCACUAAACCACUUGUGACCACAAUUUGCCCAAGAUCUGACCUAUGUGAGCAUCAAGAGGCCUAGAGCAGUCCCAAGGAAAUCCCCAGGACUUUUUCUGCACUGGAAAACAUUGUGGUCAUUAUUGCUGAGGUCUUUGUACUUUAAGCACUUCCCAGAAGCUGAAACGGUGGAGUCUGAAUACAAACUAAUAGGCAUUGAAAUUAAUAAGGAGAUUCAAAUUAAAGAAUAAAAAGGAAAUGGUUCAUGACUCAUGUAAAAUAUUAAGUAAAUGUAGUGGAAGGAAGUUUGCCUUUAAUUAGUGUUAAAAUGGAGCAGGGAGGGCAUGAUGGACUGCAGGGAAAAAAACAGGGUUCAUGGUAUUAAAUGCAGAAAACUAUCACUUUGAAUUUCCCUGCAGUCCUUGUGGGGAUUUUCUUGUUAGCUGUGCCUCAAAGAUGCUUCUCAAGGCUUGUUUCUAACUACAGGUUGCAGGUGUUUGAAACCAAUCAAUCAACCAGCUUACUCUGACUCUGUCAGAGGUGGUUUUAGUUCUAAUGCUCCCUUAGAGAGGUGGAAGGGGUAAAAAGAUUUGUCUUGAAGUCAUGCUUUUGGCACAAAAAGGAAUAAAUUUUGACUUUGCACUUUGCAAAGGCUCAGAGUGUGACCAUCCCCUUUUAGGAGGCUUUAUCUGGUGUAGAGAAAGGGGAUGCUUGGAUAUCUUUUCUUCCUCCAAAAAGCACAGAAAGUGUUUCUGGAAAGCCAAGCUCUGCCUUUCUGACCCUGCUAAUCAGGAAACUCCAUGUAAAUGCUUUUCCCUUCUUAGUGAAGCUGUGUUCCUCUGCUCUCUGAACUGCCUAAUCACCAAAUAUUUGUGCUGGCCACAGGUGGGAAAAGCACAGUAAUGGGUCAUAAUUCAGCUCAGCAUAACCUUCUUUCCCCUGUAAAUUAAGAUGCAGCUGUCUUCUGAUUAGACAUAAAGUGGCCUAAUUUUGGAGGGAUUGAGAGGUGAGCCAUUUCAGGGAGAGGAAAAUUAAUUUUAUUUUAAUGAUGUGAGCUGUUAUGUCUAUCAGAGCACUGAAUGCUUUCUUUACACUUGGACACAGUCGUUGACAGAGGCACUGCCAGCCUGUAAAAUUCUUUUCCCCCCAUUAAAUUAGAUAAGCUCACUUUAGGGUUAUAUUUUUGAGUCUGAUUGAACAAAUGUAGCAAUUUAUCCAGGCGUUACAGGAUUUCCCCGUGGAUGCUUGAUGAGAGCUGCUCCAUGAGGAUGAUACACUUAAUUAAAAAGCAGAAGCUGAAGACUGAUACAGAUGUAUCCUGACACAGCAGCUGGGUUUCUUUGCUUAUUGGAAGUGAAGUGGGGGGGAUGAGGAGGAAUCAGGGCUCUCAUUAGAGGGAGGAAUAAACCCAGAUCCCAGAGUGUGUAAUACAAUGAAGUUUUAACAUCAUCCCUGCUGUGAUCCACACUGGGUCUUUGGCAUAGUGGGUUGACCUUGUUUAUUCCUUAGCAUGUUGUUGUGGGGUUAUGGGGGGUCCCAGCCCUGCUGGUUUGUUUAUUCCCUCUCAGUGGGGCUGGGAAACCAUCAGUGAAAGGAAUUUCUGGGUGACCUUGAAGAAAAAUCAAUAUGGGGCGUCCAAGCCUUUUUUGCUUGGGAAAUAAAAGAGCAAUGUAUUGGUGAUUGCCCUUUUUUCAUCCCACGUGCCCCCAAAUCUCUCAUCUUUGGGCAGAAAACCCCCUUGAUACCAUGGUCUCUCCCUUUAUUUCAAAAGGAAUUAAAACAAAUGACAGUAUUUUUCUUUCCCAGUAGAGGGAAGUGUUGGCUAAACUGAAUUUUAUGCGCUACAGCCUCAUGGCACCUCGUGCUAAAGGAGCUUCUCACAGCACUUAUCCCAGGUAGUAAAAGGGUUUAUAAAAGUCGAGGUCUGUGGAAAGCAAAAGCACUUCACUGAGUGCUAGCAAGGUGGGAGGGCAUGGAAAAACUUUUCAAAUUGUGAAGGAAAAUACUUUUUUCCCCAAAUUGAAUUUUGCAAGAAAAAGGGACUUUUAACCUUUUUUUUUUUUGCUUAAGAAAAAAAAAAAAAAGAAUGUUUUAAACUUUUUCCCAAGCUCAGGCUUUCAUGAACUGCAUAUUUUUCAGACUCUUUCCUUUAAAAGGCAGUGACAAAUGUCACUGAGUGAAAAUAAAGGCUCUACGAGCAUCUUUGGGAGAACAAAUGGAUUUUUGCAACCAGCAGUGCUGUCUAUAAACUCUUUAAGAAUGCAGUACUCACUUUGGGGGGAAAAAGGUAUAUUUUUUUUUGGAGAGAAGUGAAGAGAAAGGGGACACCAACUGAUCUCCCACAGUAUUUUUUUGCUGCUGGUACUUGCUCCCACCUGGCAUGCACAUUUAUUAGGUUUCAGCUGACUUGCCUGAACUUUUUCAGGCAUUCAGUGAGCCAGCAUUACUUGACUGCUUCUUGCAGAGAGGAAGAUAUUGGCAAGGCAGCAUGGUUUUAAUAAACUUUCUGUCUCUGCUCAGCCUGUCUAUGGGGGUCCAAUUAGCAUGGCUACUUCAUGAUUAGUGUUUGCAGCAGGAGGUCUCCUGUGCCAAGGGUGUUCCCCACUUGCUGUGGGACUUGGAGAUGCUGCUGUCAUUGUGGGCUCCUGGGUUACAUUUCUGUGUCUUCUGAAGGGAGCAAUUUAAAAAAAAGGAACCCAAAGAGACAUAAAUGCUUGAAAAGUUGGGGAAAGGAUUGUUUUUUUGGGGGGUAGAAAACAAGGGAACCGUAGCAGUCCUGCUCCUGCCAUGGAAGAAAUUUUAAAGAACCAGUGGAUGGGACAUUAGGUGGAAUUUUGUGGCUUUUCCCUCCUUUCCCUGGCGGUGUUGCUAGAUCUGUGACACUGAGAUGCUGCUUGCUCUUCACCUUGAGACCUCUGCUAUUGCAGCUCUGAAGGAAGAAGGGAGGACAGAGGAUUGAGUGAAGUCUGAAUAUCCCCCACCAGGGAUGCUGGUUCUGUUGCCCAAGAACUGGAAAUGUUUCUGGGUGCAGAGAGCACUGAUGGGGUGGGACCAUACUGUGACCAUCCCAGUGUGGAGGAUUUCCAGCAGAGCUCUGCAGCUGGGAUGAGCGGUGGGACCCCAGCACUCAUCCUUGCACAGCUUUCUCACUCUGGUAGGUGUCCUGCGGAGAUGUGUUGGCACAGUAGCUGAGAUGCCAAGAACUCAGCAUUUGCCUUCAUGGGGUUGAAGAUGUGCCCACCCCGUAAUCUCUUUGGGUCCUCGUGAGAACCUGCUUCCCUUUGAGCAGCCACUCUUCAGCCUCAUGUUGAGAGGUUAACAUUUGAGGAUUUGUCUUCCUUUGUCUUCUGUCUCUCACAUCUUUCUGUGCUGCUCUAAGCUUUCACGGGCUCUGUUCCCCAGGUCCAUCUUUUUCUGCCUUUUUUGGUCUUCAUUCCCCUCUGUCUCCAAUUGUUUGUAGUCUUUUUCCAGUCUUUGACCUCCACUCCCUCUUCUCAGCUCCUUCUCUCUUCUUCCUCACCCAGGUCUUCCCUAUGAUCCACUCCAUCAUUUCCUGCAUUUCCAGAAUUUUUGCAUAUUUUGAAUCCUUCAGUCAACAGUUCCCUUGAGCAUGAGCUUGUCCUUGAGUGGACACCUGCUCUUCCUCAGUUGUCCACUCUUCUUGAGUGAACAAUUGCCUUCCCAGAGCCACUGCAGCCCCUCAGUUUUUUCCCUCAAUGAUCUGCUCUUUUCCCACCCUGAGCUGCUGUCACCUGAGUAUGUCUUACAGCUGCACACUCUCCAGGGUGGCAGCAGACACUUCCCAAAACAUCGCUGAGGCUGUAAAGCAAUGCCAGCCUCCUGCUUGUCCUAUUUUACCUCAGUAAUUUGAGGGGUUUUUCAGAAGUUUCUUUCACUUUUACUGCCAUGAAUACUUCACGUGGCUGGAAAAUCCUUGUACUCUCUUCAUCUAUGUCUAUCCAUUCAUGAUCUUCCCUGUCACUGCUGGGCAGCUUAUUUUGGGUGAAAGCUGCUGUUCUCACUCACCAGAAUUGCAGUGCUGUAGCCAUGAUCCUGGGCACUGUUCCUUGAGGCUGGGGGCUCUGGGUCACUCCCAGCUGAUGUGCACAUUUAUUAGGUUUUGGGAGGAUCGGGGUUUGGUUGGGGGUGAUCAGAAAGUCCAGCUUUGGCACUGUUCACACCUCCCUGUGUGUGCUGAAGUGCCCCUUGCUGUGUUCUGCUGCCAGUGGCUCUCCUCCAUCCCCUCAGCCCUGAUUAAACCUUCUCUUUCUCCAAGGUCCUCAUGGCACUGUAGCUUCCACUGCAGCUUCCCCCUCUCCUUCCCCAUCCCACCUUUCUUCUCCCCAGUUGUGUUCAUCCCACCUCGCUCCCUACACCAUGGCACCACAUGUGACACUUGGGGACAAGGCUUCGUGGCGGUCUUGGCCAUGCUGGUUUAAGAGUUGAACUUGAUGCUCUUGGAGGUAUUUUCCAAACUAAACGAGUCUAUGUUAACAUUGCUCCCUCACCGCCCUUCCCGCUGCCAAACUGAGCAAGCCUAUGCCUCUAGCAGUCCAUCAUCCCGCUUCACGGUGCCAUUUCUCAUCCCCUUCUCAUCCUUCCUUCCUCCCCGCCAUUCCUCUGCCAUCAUUCCUCCUUCCUCGCCGCUAACCCCUGCCUGUCCCCCAGCCUUGCUCCGCUUCCCGGCCUGCUCCCGCUGC